GAGGGUAUAGCUCAGUGGUAGAGUGUGUGCUUAGCAUGCAUGAGGUCCUGGGUUCAACCCCUAGUACCUUCC
rnacentral:tRNA from 1 species